GUGGGGAAUAUUGGACAAUGGGCGCAAGCCUGAUCCAGCCAUGCCGCGUGAGUGAUGAAGGCCCUAGGGUUGUAAAGCUCUUUCACCGGUGAAGAUAAUGACGGUAACCGGAGAAGAAGCCCCGGCUAACUUCGUGCCAGCAGCCGCGGUAAUACGAAGGGGGCUAGCGUUGUUCGGAUUUACUGGGCGUAAAGCGCACGUAGGCGGUUUGUUAAGUCAGAGGUGAAAUCCCGGAGCUCAACUCCGGAACUGCCUUUGAUACUGGCAAGCUAGAGUCAGGAAGAGGUAAGUGGAACUCCUAGUGUAGAGGUGGAAUUCGUAGAUAUUAGGAAGAACACCAGUGGCGAAGGCGGCUUACUGGUCCGGAACUGACGCUGAGGUGCGAAAGCGUGGGGAGCAAACAGGAUUAGAACCCCUGUAGUCC
rnacentral:rRNA from 1 species